rnacentral:rRNA from 1 species
CCUAUGAGCAGUUUAAAUGGCCGCAGUAUUUUGACUGUGCAAAGGUAGCAUAAUCACUUGCCCUUUAAUUAGGGGCUAGAAUGAAAGGGGCGACGAAAUCUAGACUAUUUAUGAAGAGAUAGAAGUUGACAUUUAGGUUAAAAGGCCUAAAUUUACCAAAGGGACGAUAAGACCCUAUAAAACUUUACCUUUUAGGCGAUCUAUUUAGGCAGGGUCUAAAGUCAAGGUUAAACUGGGGCGGUGUUAAUAAAAGCAAUUAAAUAAAAAAUAUCUAAAAUAGAUUUUAGGAACUCUCAGAGAAAGCGAACAAGUUACUUUAGGGAUAACAGCAUAAUGCCCCCAGAGAGUACUAAUCGGAGGGGGCGCUUAUGACCUCGAUGUUGAAUUGGGGUUCCCUGUAUAAGCAUAAAUAUACAAGGGCAGUCUGUUCGACUAUUAAACCCCC